rnacentral:rRNA from 1 species
UACGUAGGGUGCAAGCGUUGUCCGGAUUUAUUGGGCGUAAAGAGCGCGUAGGCGGCCAUGCAGGUCAGCUGUGAAAACUCGAGGCUCAACCUCGAGACGUCGGUUGAAACCGCAUGGCUAGAGUCCGGAAGAGGAGAGUGGAAUUCCCGGUGUAGCGGUGAAAUGCGCAGAUAUCGGGAAGAACACCUGUGGCGAAGGCAGCUAUCUGGGCAGGUACUGACGCUGAGACGCGAAAGCGUGGGGAGCGAAAAGG